UACGGGGGGGGCAAGCGUUGUUCGGAAUUACUGGGCGUAAAGGGCUCGUAGGCGGCCAACUAAGUCAGACGUGAAAUCCCUCGGCUUAACCGGGGAACUGCGUCUGAUACUGGAUGGCUUGAGUUCGGGAGAGGGAUGCGGAAUUCCAGGUGUAGCGGUGAAAUGCGUAGAUAUCUGGAGGAACACCGGUGGCGAAGGCGGCAUCCUGGACUAACACUGACACUGAGGCGCGAGAGCGUGGGGAGCAAACAGG
rnacentral:rRNA from 1 species